rnacentral:rRNA from 1 species
AUGAGGAGCUUGCUCCUCUGAUUUAGCGGCGGACGGGUGAGUAACACGUGGGUAAUCUGCCUGUAAGACGGGGAUAACUCCGGGAAACCGGGGCUAAUACCGGAUAAUAAGAGAAGAAGCAUUUCUUCUUUUUGAAAGUCGGUUUCGGCUGACACUUACAGAUGAGCCCGCGGCGCAUUAGCUAGUUGGUGAGGUAACGGCUCACCAAGGCGACGAUGCGUAGCCGACCUGAGAGGGUGAUCGGCCACACUGGGACUGAGACACGGCCCAGACUCCUACGGGAGGCAGCAGUAGGGAAUCUUCGGCAAUGGGCGAAAGCCUGACCGAGCAACGCCGCGUGAGCGAUGAAGGCCUUCGGGUCGUAAAGCUCUGUUGUUAGAGAAGAACAAGUACGAGAGUAACUGCUCGUACCUUGACGGUACCUAACCAGAAAGCCACGGCUAACUACGUGCCAGCAGCCGCGGUAAUACGUAGGUGGCAAGCGUUAUCCGGAAUUAUUGGGCGUAAAGCGCGCGCAGGCGGUCUCUUAAGUCUGAUGUGAAAGCCCACGGCUCAACCGUGGAGGGUCAUUGGAAACUGGGAGACUUGAGUGCAGGAGAGAAAAGUGGAAUUCCACGUGUAGCGGUGAAAUGCGUAGAGAUGUGGAGGAACACCAGUGGCGAAGGCGGCUUUUUGGCCUGUAACUGACGCUGAGGCGCGA